UAUAACACUAAUAGAGUACGCUAAAAUAGCCUUUUUUUUACACAUUUUUACUAGUCAUAUAAUAUUACGCAAAAACACAUAAUCAAAACCAAAAAAAGUCGACUAUUUACUUUGGACGAUCUUGAACGCAGCCACUUAUGUCAAACGUCAAAUGUCACAUGUGACAAGUUAUUUUGAGAAGUUUUUGAGGUUUGUUUUGUUUGUGACUUUGGUUUUGUUUGUUUGGAAUACUUUUAUCCAUUCGUUAUAACGUGAUUGAUGAACAUUGAUAACGCCGAUCAAGCAUCCUGUACUGAUAAUAAUAACGCAAGUACCCCAUCUAAAAAUCGAAAAGUUUUGACGAAGAAAAAAAAGGACACAGAAGUACACACAACUUUGGGAAAAUGAGUUUUCAUGGCUAAGAAAAGACUCAGAAAGUGAUACAAAUGCAAAAUCCAUAAUCUGUGGCGAAGUUUUCUCUCUAUUCCAUCAGCUGGAGUUGUACACGAUAGGAAUAUUUACAUAUUGUAUGAUGAAUAUGAUGAUGAUAAAGAAAACUAUGAUUUAAAUAUGAAGAUAUAAUUGGAAUAAUCAUAAAAUGAGAAUAUGCAUAUAAAAAUCUACAUAAUGAGAAUGGCUGAGGGUCAGCAUUGAUCUAUUAAAUCAAGAUCGUUAAAACACUUUAAUAUAAUUACAAAGAAAAGGCUGAUUUAAUAUGGAGACACAAGAAUAUAAGACAUAAAAUGAAAGGAUUGGAAUACCUACAUUAUGAGAAUAUGGAAAGAAAAUACUUACAUUUUAUACACAUAAUACAAGAAUGUAUUGGAAUAUUAAGAGAAUGGCUGUCUAAAGCUCUAUUAAAUCAAGAUGGUUAACACACUUUAAUAAAAUUACAAAGAAAAUGUUGAUUUAAUAUGAAGACACAAGAAUAUUAGAAUUAAAAUAUAAUAAUUUGAAUACAUUAUGAGAACAUGGAAAGAAACUUACAUUUUAUAUACAUAUAUUAUGAGAAUGGCUGUCUGAACAGUAUUGUCCUAAUAAAUCAAAAUGUUUAACACACUGUUGUUAUUAUAAUAAAUGAUGAUUUAAAUAUAAAAAUACAAGAAUAUUAUAUAUAAAAUAGAAGAAUUGGAAUAUAUUUUGAUACUAAGAUACCUGCAUUAUAAAUAUAUUAUGAGAAUGGAUGACCGAACAGUAUUGUUCCGAUAAAUGAAGUUGAAUGGUAUGCUGAAGUGCAAGCGGUGCUCACACAAGGAUGUGAUUGGUAUGCCGAAGCACAAGCGGUACUCACUGAAUGAUAAUACACACACUUUAAUAUUGUUAUAAUAAAAGGUGAAUGGUAUGCCGAAGUGCAAGCGGUGCUCACACAGGGUUGUGAAUGGUAUGCCGAAGCACAAGCGGUGCUCACCUAAUGAUAAUUAGUAUAUAGUGGCUGGUAUGCCGAAGUGCAAGCGGUGCUCACACUGGGUUGUGAAUGGUAUGCCGAAGCACAAGCGGUACCCACUAUACUAUUUAUCUGAUAAAGAAUUCUGAGGAACAAUGAACAUACAGUGUAGCCGACCAACAAUUCACCUAGCAACGUUGCAGCGUAGCAGACCAGCGUCAGACCAGCAUUAAGUACAUCAAUAAGAACAGCCGGAAUAUGGUUUACUAAUUACUUAUAGUCUCUUUGAGUUUUGUUUUAAUUAUGAUUGCUAAGUGCAUUUAAUAUCACCGCAUAGAUAUAAUAACUUUAUUAAUUUUGCUAAUUCAUUCAGUUUGUUAACAUAAAUUUAGAACUUGUUAGUUAGCGUUCGAAUGGCCGACAGGGAAUGGGGACAUUCCCAAUAACAGGACGGCCGACUGUUAGCGUUUAAAUUUACCAAUGCUAUUCUUUACUAAUA